rnacentral:rRNA from 1 species
UACGUAGGGUGCAAGCGUUGUCCGGAAUUAUUGGGCGUAAAGAGCUCGUAGGCGGUUUGUCGCGUCUGCUGUGAAAACUGGGGGCUCAACCCCCAGCCUGCAGUGGGUACGGGCAGACUAGAGUGCGGUAGGGGAGAUUGGAAUUCCUGGUGUAGCGGUGGAAUGCGCAGAUAUCAGGAGGAACACCGAUGGCGAAGGCAGAUCUCUGGGCCAUUACUGACGCUGAGGAGCGAAAGCGUGGGGAGCGAACAGG